AAAAACAUUGAAAAUUAAAACUUACCCAGAGAAGCACAAAGUCGAGAUCUAAACCAGCAGUGGCAACAGCUCUGCGAGGCGGGGGAUCGCCGUCGACCCAUCACCCACUAGUGGAAACAGGAAAGAGAUGCUGCGUUUAAGAACUUUUCGUCCGACAAAUGAUAAAAUUGUUAAGAUUCAGCUUCAUCCGACUCACCCAUGGCUCGUUACAGCAGAUGCAUCCGAUCAUGUUUCUGUUUGGAAUUGGGAACAUCGCCAGGUAAUUUAUGAACUAAAAGCUGGUGGCAUUGACGAGAGGCGUUUAGUUGGUGCCAAGUUGGAGAAGCUUGCUGAGGGGGAAUCAGAGCCUAAAGGGAAACCUACAGAGGCCAUGCGAGGAGGGAGCGUUAAGCAGGUGGACUUUUAUGAUGAUGAUGUACGCUUUUGGCAACUUUGGCGCAACCGAUCUGCAGCUGCUGAAGCUCCCUCAGCUGUUAAUCAUGUUACUUCAGCUUUUAGUUCCCCUGCUCCAUCAACAAAAGGGAGGCAUUUUCUUGUUAUCUGCUGUGAGAAUAAGGCUAUAUUUUUGGAUUUGGUUACAAUGCGUGGACGUGAUGUACCAAAGCAAGAACUUGACAAUAAGUCACUUCUCUGUAUGGAGUUCCUCUCCCGAUCAGCAGGUGGUGAUGCUCCACUCGUUGCUUUUGGUGGAUCAGAUGGUGUAAUAAGAGUUCUUUCAAUGAUAACAUGGAAGCUUGUUCGAAGGUACACUGGAGGUCAUAAAGGGUCCAUUUCUUGUUUGAUGACCUUCAUGGCGUCUUCUGGGGAGGCACUUUUAAUUUCGGGUGCUAGUGAUGGUUUACUCAUACUUUGGAGUGCAGACCAUGGUCAAGAUUCGCGAGAACUUGUACCCAAGCUGAGCCUAAAAGCUCAUGAUGGCGGUGUUGUGGCUGUUGAGCUUUCUAGAGUGAUUGGAGGUGCACCACAACUUAUUACAAUUGGUGCAGAUAAGACCUUAGCUAUUUGGGAUACGAUCUCUUUUAAGGAGUUGCGGCGAAUCAAACCUGUUCCAAAGCUGGCUUGCCAUAGUGUGGCGUCUUGGUGCCACCCUCGAGCUCCAAACCUUGAUAUCUUAACUUGUGUCAAAGAUUCCCACAUUUGGGCUAUUGAACACCCAACUUAUUCAGCUCUUACAAGACCAUUGUGUGAACUUUCCUCCCUAGUUCCUCCACAAGUACUUGCUCCCAACAAAAAACUGAGGGUUUAUUGUAUGGUCGCACAUCCUUUACAGCCACAUCUUGUUGCUACUGGAACUAAUAUCGGUGUUAUUGUCAGUGAGUUUGAUGCUAGAUCUCUUCCAGCUGUAGCUGCUCUACCAACACCAGUAGGGAGCCGAGAGCAUUCUGCAGUCUAUGUAGUUGAGAGGGAACUGAAGUUACUUAAUUUUCAGUUGUCUAGCACAGCAAAUCCCUCUCUGGGAAGUAAUGGCUCCUUGUCUGAAACAGGAAGAUUCAGGGGAGACUCAUUGGAACCUUUACAUGUCAAGCAGAUAAAAAAGCAUAUUAGUACACCAGUUCCACAUGAUUCAUAUUCAGUCCUUUCCAUAAGCAGUUCAGGAAAGUAUCUUGCAAUCGUGUGGCCUGAUAUUCCUUACUUUUCCAUCUACAAGGUCAGUGACUGGUCCAUCGUUGAUUCAGGCAGUGCAAGGCUUUUGGCAUGGGAUACAUGUCGUGAUAGAUUUGCUCUAUUGGAAUCUUCAUUACCCCCUAGAAUCCCAAUAAUUCCCAAGGGGGGUUCAAGAAAAGCAAAAGAAGCUGCAGCAGCUGCUGCACAAGCUGCUGCAGCUGCUGCUAGUGCUGCCUCUACAGCCACUGUUCAACUUCGUAUCUUGCUGGAUGAUGGGACAUCUAAUGUAUAUAUGAGAUCCAUAGGUGGCCGCAGUGAUCCGGUCAUUGGAUUGCAUGGGGGAGCACUACUUGGAGUUGCAUAUCGAACAUCUCGGAGGAUUAGCCCUGUUGCCGCAACAGCCAUUUCAACUAUCCAAUCUAUGCCCUUAUCAGGAUUUGGAAGCAGUGGUCUUUCUUCUUUUACCACUCUUGAUGAUGGAUUUUCUUCUCAUAAAUCUCCUACUGAAGCGGCACCUCAAAACUUUCAGCUUUAUAGUUGGGAAACUUUUGAGCCUGUGGGUGGUCUCCUCCCUCAGCCAGAAUGGACUGCUUGGGACCAAACUGUUGAAUAUUGUGCUUUUGGUUACCAGCAAUACAUUGUCAUAUCUUCAUUACGCCCUCAAUAUAGAUACUUGGGAGAUGUGGCCAUUCCCUAUGCUACUGGUGCUGUUUGGCACCGGAGACAGCUGUUUGUGGCUACACCAACUACCAUUGAGUGUGUUUUUGUGGAUGCUGGAGUUGCACCUAUUGACAUAGAAACAAGAAAGAUGAAAGAGGAGAUGAAAUCAAAAGAGGCACGGGCAAGAGCUGUUGCUGAGCAUGGAGAGUUAGCACUGAUCACAGUUGAUGGUCCACAAACUGUUGCAAAUGAAAGAAUGGCCUUGAGGCCUCCUAUGCUACAGGUGGUGCGGUUGGCUUCUUUUCAGCAUCCUCCUUCUGUGCCACCUUUCUUAACAUUGCCAAAACAAUCAAAAGUUGAUGGAGAUGAUUCAGUGUUGCAAAAGGAGAUGGAAGAAAGAAAAACUAAUGAAAUAGCUGUUGGUGGUGGAGGGGUGUCAGUGGCAGUGACUCGUUUUCCUACAGAGCAACGACGACCAGUUGGACCUCUCGUUGUGGUGGGCGUUAGGGAUGGAGUCCUUUGGUUAAUUGACAGGUACAUGUGUGCCCAUGCCUUAUCUCUUAGCCAUCCUGGUAUUCGUUGUCGGUGUCUUGCUGCCUAUGGAGAUGCUGUUAGUGCAGUAAAAUGGGCUAGUAGGCUUGCAAGAGAGCAUCAUGAUGAUUUAGCUCAAUUUAUGCUUGGAAUGGGUUAUGCCACUGAAGCACUUCAUUUGCCUGGAAUAUCUAAGAGGUUGGAGUUUGAUCUGGCCAUGCAGAGCAAUGAUUUGAAAAGAGCACUUCAGUGCCUUCUUACCAUGAGCAACAGCAGGGAUAUAGGGCAAGAAAAUACAGGGCUGAAUUUAAAUGACAUUCUCAGUUUAACCACUAAGAAGGAAAAUAUUCUGGAUGCUGUCCAAGGAAUAGUGAAAUUUGCAAAGGAGUUUUUGGAUCUUAUUGAUGCCGCAGAUGCUACUGCACAAGCAGACAUUGCACGUGAAGCUCUUAAGAGGUUAGCUGCUGCAGGUUCGAUGAAGGGAGCAUUACAGGGUCAUGAGUUAAGAGGACUAGCUCUUCGCCUAGCAAAUCAUGGAGAGUUGACACAGCUAAGUGGCUUGGUAAAUAAUUUGAUCUCAGUUGGCCUGGGACGUGAAGCGGCAUUUGCAGCUGCAGUUUUGGGAGACAAUGCUCUUAUGGAGAAGGCAUGGCAGGAUACUGGGAUGCUUGCUGAGGCUGUGCUCCAUGCUCAUGCACAUGGACGACCAACAUUGAAAAACUUGGUUCAGGCUUGGAACAAAAUGCUGCAGAAAGAGAUUGAGCAUACUCCUUCAACAAAAACAGAUGCUGCAGCUGCAUUUCUCGCUUCCCUUGAGGAACCUAAACUUACGAGUUUGGCAGAAGCAGGGAAGAAACCACCCAUUGAAAUUCUUCCUCCUGGAAUGUUGUCUCUAUCUGCUCCCAUUUCUGUUCAGAAAAAACCUGUUCCUGCCAUACAGGGUUCACAGCAACAACCUGGCAAGCCGUUGCUAUUGGAAGCACCUCCUACCACCACAUCAGUUAGCGCGCCAACACCAUCAGAAUCGAGUGAAGCCACUGCACAAGACAACAAUCCAAGUUCAUCAGUUACGGAUCCUGGUCCUGAUCCAGUUGCUCUAGCGCCAACUGUCCCAGCAUCUACAAGUGGUCCAGUUCUGCCUGAGGACGCCCCCAAGGAACCUGAUAUUCAGGAGAUGAGUGUUCCUGCUACUACAUUGCCAAUGACCGACCCACUUGCUUGACUUCGGAGUCCUAGUGACCAAUUGAGAAUAUAGUUUGUUGAAUGCAUUCUACAGUGUUUCUUCCAUCUUCAUUUAAUUCCCAUUGGCUUGUUGUAACUUGAUGAGUGCCAUCAUUGUCAAUUUUUUACCUUCUAAAGUACCAUUAGCGUCAAAUUUUUUGCCAUACCACACAGCAGAGGAACCUGACUUAUACUGGUCUAACUCACACUGCAGGAUGAUUGAUAGCAAGUCAGUCUGUAAUGUACGGAGGAAUAACGUUGGCUUGAAUGGUAGCUGUUCAGAGUUUGGGGAGGAGCCUAAGGGAGCCCAAGUCAAUCAACCACCGUUUUUGGUCACCGGCUGGCGACACACGUACGCCCAAUGGAGAAGUGUAAGGCCUAAUAAAGGGUCAGGGCGUGCUAGCACGGCUACCUUUCCAGUAUUAUAUGAAAAUGCAUCCACCAAUGAAAAUCUCUUUGUGCAGAAGAGGUUUUAAUUGUAGUGAUUUGUAAAUUGUGAAUAGCCUCAUUGUUGUGUAUUUUGGUUCCGUUUUAUAUCUAUAUAUUAUUGUACUU